AUCUCUUGAUAUCGUAUGGUGCGUGUAGGUGUUGAACCUGGGCCAAUUGCGCGGCGUAGUAGUAGUGUUCGUAGUGCGGGAGGCCCAGUCCUCCCACUCUGUUUGGUAUGUAUAGCGUUGCUCGUUUGAUCCAAGCUUUUUUGUUGGCCCAGAUAAAGCGGUCGGUUUGAGAUUGUAGCGUCUUGAAAUUAGUUGCCUCUAGUGGUAUGGGUAAGGCUUGAAAUAAAUAAAGGAAUCUGGGGAGUAGGUUCAUUUUGACUGACGCUAGUCUGCCCAGCCAUGAUAUUGAGAGACUAG